rnacentral:lncRNA from 1 species
CUGGAACCUUCCGGUGCGAUGCGGGGUAUCAAUGGAGGGGCGGGGAGCGGCGGUCCCGUGACGGAGGCUGGGGGCGGGGCCUCCUGUGUUCCGCUCCCCUUGGAGGUGAUACCCCGUGAGGGCAGCAGGGGGCGCUGCUAAUACAGCCUCGCCGGAGAAGCGCCGUGGGAGGCGCUGAAGUUCUCCAACCCGUCGCGAAGUAAUUCCGUUCCUUCGAUGGUGACCCCGGGGUCAGCGCCCGGCUCUGUCUUGCUCGCUCCCCCACAUAUUUCCCGGUCCCCCGAGAUUCGUGCCUCGGGGACUUCCUGCAUGCCGUUACCCCGGGGGGAAUUCUGCUUCCACGAAUGUGUCCAGCGCCUCUGAAAAUACUUCUUGUUUAUACGGCAUUUAUUUAUAGGGUUCCUGCAAAGGAGGAAUGGCUCCCUGGUGGCGUUCCCUCCCGCUCGGGCCACUACAUGAACACUGUUGGAGAUUCUGGGAAUUUAGAGAAGACGGAGUCAGACCCUCCGGAGAGGUUUACACUGAGAAGGAUGAGAGGCAACGGACAAUUUGGAAAAGGAAAAUUUGACUUUGAUACCAAGAAGGAAAGAUCACAAUGAGUGUGAUAAAAAAACUGAAACAGGUGCCCAGGGAGGCUGUGGGAUCCAUAUCCUUGGAGGUAUUCAAAACUAGCUGUACAAGGCCCUGAGCAACCUGUUGCUGGGCUCCAUUUGAGUAAAGGUCUGCAGCGGUCCCUUUCCAUCUGCACCAAUCUCUGACACUUUUAUGAAGCCCAUUAGCUUCAUAAGCCCAUUAGCAGGAAAAAAAAAAAGGGAAUCAUUUCCACACUUUUUUGAAAGAGCAGUAAUUCUCAUGCUCUUGGUGAAGAACCAAUGGAGCAAUAUGGCAUUUUAACAUGUUAGCUAAGGAGAAAGAAUCAUAAACUAUUUGCAUGAGCAUAAAGCAAAGGGGACAAAUCCUGCUGGUAGCUGAGCACACGUACUGACCUUCACAGGAAUUGAGCCUGCUCAUCAUUUUGCAAGUUCACAUGAUAAGAAAAGGAACCAGCGUGAGAUCCUUUUUAUGCAGAAUUACAGAGAAAAAUCCCUUUCAAGUUGAGUGAAUGUAAGCAUGGAUGCCUCUGCUUCCAAGCUCGGAGUACAGUGUGGUGAAGGCUGAUAAAGAUCUGUGAGAGGUUCUUCACCCCAUCCUUUUUUUUUUUUCCAAGCUAAAAACAGAAGGCACACCCGUAAAGGUGAUGUGGUGACGUGGUGGCUGCUCGCUGAAGGGAGGCCAAAAUUGCAACCAUUUGCCUUCCCUUUCCCCCUGGCCUCUGCAGCUCUGUAAGGCUUUCUGACUCCCAGCAACUUUCUCCGCAAAACCUGUUCUCUCAUCGAGUUAUCUCCUCUGCAGAGGAGAGACACAAAUACCAGCUUGUCUCUUUUCAAUCAAGGAACAUGCAGUGCCAGAGGAUGAAGCAUCGGAUUCUUUACUUUUGAUUGAGGCUAAUUAGUGUUUGCUCUAAAGAACAUUAGAAAAAAAUACUGAGUAUUCAGAUUGCUGGAACUCACAGCCAGAGCACGGCUGCCUGAAGCAAUGGGGCUGCCUGGUACAAGUCCAGAGGUUCUCACUGAGGGGUGAGGAGGGAAGCCCAAUGAAGGCAGCUGCUUCUAUUUGUUUUGCAGGCAGCUCUGCUAUUAGGAAUCUACAAAAAAAAUAAAGAAGUCAUAAUGAAUGGAUGCUGUGUUCUGCGCUUUAUCUGUCUGCACUUAACAAGCAUAAUCAAAGCAUCACUACUGGCACUGAGACGAGAGGUUCUAUUUCUCCAGCUGGUCAGGUUUCUCCAGGAAAACUCAGUUCUAGCCCAGCGUCUGACAUGCAACGUAGUGUUCUGUAGACAUCUUAUAGACAAAUCUGAGUGCAGGGCUCUGGGCCCAGUGCCUUCUCAAGCUCUGUGUCGUGCUUUAGCCUGGCAGGCAGCUCAGCACCACACCGCAGUUCACUCCCUCUCUGGGCAAAAGGAUGGGAGAAAGAACCAGGAAAAAAAAGAGAAAAGAAACUCAGGAGUUGAGAUAACAAUCAUUUAAUAAGAAAGAAAAGGGAAAAAACCCAACCAAAACCAAGUGAUGUACAGUGCCAUUGCUCACUGCCAGCCAACUGAUGCCCAGCCAGUCCCUGAGCAAUGCUAGCCACCCCCAAACAGCCAACUGUCUCAGUAUUGUUGCUGAAUGUGGUGCCAUAUGGUACAGGACAUCCCUUUGGACAGUCUGGAUCAGUUAUUCUGGUGCUGUUCCACUCCAGGUCCUCACUGGCUGAGCAACUCCUUGCCCAAGUCUUUGGUUCUGCGCAAACACUGCUCAGCAACAACUAAUCAUCACUGCACUAUCUUCAUUAUUCUCACAGUAAGUCCAAAACACAGCACUACACCAGCUACAGUGACGAAAAUUAACUAUCCCAGCUGAAGCCAAGACCCUCUCAGAUCUACAUUUAUGGCUGGUGAUCAGUUUUACACUUGACCAAGACAAGCUUUACAUUCCAAUUUAGUUCAGCUAUGGGGAAAUGUGCCUGCAAGUCCAGGCAAAAAGAUUCUGGCCUGGAUGUAACACUCCUCACAUAUUGCAAGAGAUUUCUUUUGUGGGACAAAGUGAAAUCUCAGUGCUUAAUGGUAAGGAUCGCAUGGAUCUGUGCUGAACAGAUGGAAGAGAUAUUGCAUAAAGCCUAGUUCAUGUGUUCUUUGAUUACUGCCUGUUAGCCUUUAUCUCAGACUCUUGGAAACACCAGCUUUCUAUCAAAAGGAAAUGUCACCACUUUAGCUAAUAGACUUUUUUUUCUUUCCCUCGCAAGAGACUCUAAUUGACUUUUUUUUCCAGUUGAAUACAGCUUUAAAAAUGAAUAUUUAAUGUCAGGCAUUAAAGUUCCUACAUUGGCUUGCAGAGGAAAUCUUGACUCACACAGAUGCUUGUCAAGAGGAAGAAAAGGGAGACCAUGCUUCCCUCCCCUCCAAGACACAGAAAAGGAUUUGUCUUGAUGCAGCUCUGCAGUAUAGGCAAUUUUAUGCCUGAAGAGGGAUUUUCCCCCCCAGCCCUUCCUACAAGGCUCUGAGCUAUGGGGCAGCUGCGUCCAGCAGCCAUUGCCUCCAACAGCCUCACACUUCAUUCAGAAAAGAGCUGAAGCUGGCAGGCUUGGGGCUUGCUCCUGUCCAGAAGUCAAGGAGAUGUGCCAAUUCCUGGCAAUUAAUAUUUUGUGCUUUUUCCCAGCUGAAUAAUUCCCCAGCUUUGCAGAUCAAGCAAGAGACAUACUCAAAUUGCUUUGCAGUACUAAAUUCUGGGAAGCAAAUGGAGGACUUGUAACAAAUCUGUUGAACAACUUGUUUAAUCUUGAGCGUCUGCUCAAGCCCCUUGACUGCAGGCUUAAAGUGAAAGCAUAUGCCUCGUGCAGUAGCAACUCAAACGUGAGCAGAAUCAGGGCCAUUUUGAGGCACUGAUCAUACUACGUUGCCAUCUAUAUCAGAGCUUCCUGCUGCUCCAUGGUAGCCUGAUAGCUGAUGUCAGACUUCCUCAAGAGAGUGUUAAUUUUAUGAAGUGCCGUGGAUAACAGGGCCCUUCCUGAAACCAGCAGGUCAGUCUGUACUGCAAAGUGUGGAGAUUUCCAUCUGCCUUGAGGAUGGUGAACAUCGCUUUUGUGCAGAGGAAUAGCUGACCCUUCCUGCUAAUGGGCUAAACCAUUUGCUGUCCGUGUAAAUCACGCAAGGAACACUUGAAUGUAGCUAAUUGCUAAAAAUACCCCAAGUUUCAGCAGUAGAAAAGCUGACAAUUCUUCCAAGUCAUGUUAAAAAUACUGCUUUAGUAUGGCUUCAGUGGGAGCUGCAUCCUGUGAGCGCUGCAAGCAGAAUGGGACUGCCAUCAUCCCUGGGUGGGAUUCCUCUACCAUGUGAUAUGUCCUGUGGGUGCCGCAGCACAGCAGGAGGGAAGCUACAAGCUCUGAAAAUGUGCCUGCAAUAACAAUCAAGCAUUCUGGGCCUGUAUUUCCCCCCCCCCCCCCCGACUCAUCACAGCUUUGCACUUUUUUCCCCCCAAGCUUACUUUAUCAGGUCAAACCUUCUUUGGAGUGCAAACCUGAAUAUCUGAAGCCACAGGAAUGACAGACUGAUGGCUGUUGGCACUGGCUGAUGAAGAACAAGUCACAAGUGCUGGAGAACUCCAGCCAGCAAUCCUUCUGGGCUGGGGACUCGAACGGUGAUGAAAAAUGACAGCAGUGUAUUGAUAUCUCCCAUUUCAUUAUGUGAGCUUGGUGAAUUUCGGUUAUAGCACCCACGUUUGGUUAUAAUGGGGAAGGCAGAUCUGAAUGUCUUUGUACACUAGAGGGUAGACUGAUAGAAGUUAUCCCUGGAGGUGUUCAAGGCCAGGUUGGAUGAGGUCCUGAGCAGCCUGAUCCAGUGCCUGGUUCAGUGGUUGGCAACCCUGUCCACAACAGGGCCUUGGAACUGGAUGAUCUUUGGACGUUCCUUCCAACCCCAGCCAUUCUAUGAUUCUACAGUAAGUUUCUAAACAGAUUUUCAGAUUUCUCUCCAUUCCUGAUCUAGAAGUAACAAGAUGACUACACUUUUUGGUAUAAGCAUUUGAAAUGUCAGGAGGAUGUGAUUAUCACCUAAUGUUAGGAGGAAGCUCCUGAGAACAGCUGGGAUCCGCUACUCUGGGUAGAGGAACUCGUGCAAAAGGUGUCAGUGCUGUGCCUUAAAAUCCAAACCCACAGUGCAUCUGUGCUUCAGUGUUGGGUCUUGCUCCUGAAGUUACUCUUAAACCAAACAUUACAUGUUAGCUUAGACGUGCUUUGAAUUUCUGUGCCUGUAAAGUACGCCUAGCUCACAGAAUAUUAAGGAAAGUGCAACUUGGACGGGACCACGGGUGGAAGAAAUCCAAGUGUGCCCACACAAGAUAUCCAGUGCACACAAGUGCUGACACAUUGGUAGCCCUAAAGGAGCAACAUCACAGUCAUUGUGUGAUGGCCAAACAGCCUUUUGCUAACCUACAGCUACAUCUCGACAUUUUGAUUCCUUUUUGUAUCAAAUACUAUCCAUCUGAAGAUUGGUUACCAUUGCAAUUCAACACAUCUAAUUAGAGAGUAAAGCUUAAGGGGGAAAAAAAAAAGAACAAACUUACAUUAACCACGAAAGAAAUUUCUCACUCAUCAUCCAGUGCAAGUGCUGAGCACCCUGUUGUACUGCGGGACAAAAAAUAAACCUGAAGAGAUGCUGCCUCAUAGGUAAAGACCAGAUCCAAAGUUCUGUAAAGGAGGGAGGGAAGGAGAAAGGCUGCUGUCUGUGAACCUAACAGAAGAAAUAAACCAGACUCACUAAAGCACAUGCUGGACAUGAUGAUGUGACAUACUUGCUGCAUAGUCACACAGUGGAAUUGUGUGCCAGAGGUUUGGAGGAGAGGAUGAGCUCAGGAUGCGGUGGCUGUGGGCAGUUGGCACACAGCUGUUCCUGCUGCCCUCUGGGGCCUGCUGGGAGGAACAUGAGCAGUGCAUGCCUUGCAUGUGCAAAUGGGAGUAAGAAUAGCUCUAUCACAGCAGGGAGUGCUGCUGGAGAGGAAUUUCUGCUUAAAAGCAGGCUAAAUUCAUAGAGACCUGGUGUUUCUGACAGUGAUGGGCUAACCUCAAUAGAACAGGUGAAUAAUACACACGCGUCAGAGCAAGAAACCCUAACAAUUCAGGAAGGGAGUUAGAAAACUAAGUGGUGAGCUUGUCGAGCAGCUGCCAAAGAGACUAAUGACUGGCUGGAUACUGGGAAAAAAUUCUUCUCAGAAAGAGUGGUCAUACAUCAGCACGGGCUGCCCAGAGAGG